AUUGAACGCUGGCGGCGUGCCUAAUACAUGCAAGUCGAACGGGGAAAGCUUUCGGGUGAGUACUAGUGGCGCACGGGUGAGGAACGCGUGGAUAAUCUGCCUUAGAGUGGGGGAUAACUAGUCGAAAGAUUAGCUAAUACCGCAUAAGACCACAGGAGCUGCGGCUCUAGGGGUCAAAGGUUUUUCGCUCUAAGAUGAGUCCGCGUAAGAUUAGCUAGUUGGUGAGGUAACGGCUCACCAAGGCGACGAUCUUUAACUGGUCUGAGAGGAUGAUCAGUCACACUGGAACUGAGACACGGUCCAGACUCCUACGGGAGGCAGCAGUAGGGAAUAUUGCACAAUGGAGGAAACUCUGAUGCAGCGACGCCGCGUGAGUGAUGAAGGCCUUCGGGUCGUAAAGCUCUGUCGCAGGGGAAUAACACAAUGAAUGUACCCUGUAAGAAAGGAUCGGCUAACUUCGUGCCAGCCGCCGCAGUAAAAC
rnacentral:rRNA from 1 species